GUGUUAAUGAAGGUUGACCAUCAUCUUAUUCCUGGAAGAAAUACAGUAAAUGGAGCACAAUCACCAUGUUUACAAGAAGUGUCAAUAAUGGCAACUUGACGGGAAUCUAAAAUGAGGCUGAAAGAUACCCGAAGAUACAAAACAGAAGACAAGAAUCUGCAAUAUUCCUAGCUUUAAAAUUAAUGAAAACACGAGUAAAAUGUUAAGCUCCGAUGAUGCACCUCAGUCCCUUUAGUUCUCCACACACAGAUAAUGAACUAAACAAGCUAUUGAAUCCUACUACUAAAUGUUCUGGAAAAGCACUGGUUUAUAAACCUUCUUUAUUCAAAAGGGUUGGCCCCUGGGCACGGGUUAGUAAACAAGUUGGAUAUCUCUGAAGACAGUUCAAAGUUAUAAUCCACAAAAGAGUAGACUAUUGAGACUAUCGACAAAAGCCUAGUUCCAAAAGUCCAAUAAAGAAGCAUAUAACGAUUUGAAGAUGAAGGUGAACCAGUUUGCAACCUAUAGGAAAGAGAGCUGAGGCCAAUAAAACAUGACUUGAGAUGUGGAGGAUGUCUUUAGCUUAUCAUAUAGAGAAGGCUUUAUGGCUCUAAUAUCACUUCAGCUUGAAUAGUCACAACAAGUACAACUAUUCUUGUUGGUUUAACUAAUUUGUUGAAUUGUGGCUUCUUG
rnacentral:misc_RNA from 1 species